rnacentral:ncRNA from 1 species
UAAUUGGAGAGUUUGAUCCUGGCUCAGAAUGAACGCUGGCGGCGUGCUUAACACAUGCAAGUCGCACGAGAACUCUUUAGCUUGCUAAAGAUAGUAAAGUGGCGCACGGGUGAGUAACGCGUAGGUAAUCUCCCUCCAAACCUGGAAUAACCCCGCGAAAGCGGGGCUAAUACCGGAUAUUAUCCCUAGAACUACGGUUUUUGGGAUCAAAGGUGGCCUCUACACGUAAGCUAUCAUUUGGAGAUGAGCCUGCGUACCAUUAGCUUGUUGGUAAGGUAACGGCUUACCAAGGCUUCGAUGGUUAGCUGGUCUGAGAGGAUGAUCAGCCACACUGGAACUGACACACGGUCCAGACUCCUACGGGAGGCAGCAGUGAGGAAUUUUGCGCAAUGGGCGAAAGCUUGACGCAGCAACGCCGCGUGAGUGAUGAAGGCCUUCGGGUCGUAAAGCUCUGUCAAGUGGGAAGAAUCUGUAUCAUGCCAAUACCAUGAUGCAUUGACGGUACCACUGAAGGAAGCACCGGCUAACUCCGUGCCAGCAGCCGCGGUAAUACGGAGGGUGCAAGCGUUAUUCGGAAUUAUUGGGCGUAAAGAGCGCGUAGGCGGUCUCUUAAGUCAGGUGUGAAAGCCCGGGGCUUAACCCCGGAAGUGCAUUUGAAACUAGGAGACUUGAGUAUGGGAGAGGGAAGUGGAAUUCCUGGUGUAGCGGUGAAAUGCGUAGAUAUCAGGAGGAACACCGGUGGCGAAGGCGACUUCCUGGACCAAUACUG